rnacentral:tRNA from 1 species
AGGCGAAAUCGGCCGCGAUGGAGGCGUCGCGCAAGCUGAACUUGCGUCUGCAAGG